rnacentral:rRNA from 1 species
GACGAACGCUGGCGGCGUGCCUAAUACAUGCAAGUCGAGCGGACUGAUUAAGAGCUUGCUCUUAUGACGUUAGCGGCGGACGGGUGAGUAACACGUGGGCAACCUGCCCUGUAGAUCGGGAUAACACCGAGAAAUCGGUGCUAAUACCGGGUAAUAUCUGAGAUCACAUGAUCUUAGGUUAAAAGAUGGCUCCGGCUAUCACUACAGGAUGGGCCCGCGGCGCAUUAGCUAGUUGGUAAGGUAAUGGCUUACCAAGGCGACGAUGCGUAGCCGACCUGAGAGGGUGAUCGGCCACACUGGGACUGAGACACGGCCCAGACUCCUACGGGAGGCAGCAGUAGGGAAUCUUCCGCAAUGGACGAAAGUCUGACGGAGCAACGCCGCGUGAGUGAUGAAGGGUUUCGGCCCGUAAAGCUCUGUUGUUAGGGAAGAAACAGUACCGAACGAACUAGGUCGGUACCUUGACGGUACCUAACCAGAAAGCCACGGCUAACUACGUG